rnacentral:rRNA from 1 species
UACGGGGGGGGCAAGCGUUGUUCGGAAUUACUGGGCGUAAAGGGUUCGUAGGUGGCCAACUAAGUCAUACGUGAAAUCCCUCAGCUUAACUGGGGAACUGCGUCUGAUACUGGUUGGCUUGAGUGCAGGAGAGGGACGCGGAAUUCCAGGUGUAGCGGUGAAAUGCGUAGAUAUCUGGAGGAACACCGGUGGCGAAGGCGGCGUUCUGGACUGCAACUGACACUGAGGAACGAAAGCCAGGGGAGCAAACGGG